UAAGGAGAAAGUACAUGCAAGAAACAAAAUGAUGUGUCUUUAAAAACUGUUUGUGUUUAACAUCAGAGUCUGUGUGAGAAAGAGAAAGACAGAGACAGAGAUGGCAUGAGGAUGAAGUCAAGAGACAACUUUGUGGAGUUUUUUCUCUCCUUCCAUCUUUACUUGGAUUCUAGGAAUGGAACCAAGAUACCCAGGCCACAUUUGGGGUGAUCCUUCCCACAUCAGUUAACACAAUCUCCACCAUUCCUCAGUUUUGUCCAGUGGCAGAGAUCUUGGUAACUUCGGCUGACCAUAAGAGCCACAUUGGAAAUGGAAAUAUAGGCAGAGGAAGACAUGCUGGGCUGGUUAGUUUCUGUCAACUCAGCACAAACUAAGGUCACCUGGGAUGAGAGGACCCUCAGUGGAGGGCGUGCUUCCAACCUAUUGUCAUGAUCGGGUAAAAGGAACAGCCUAACCUCCUCCAGACUAUGCUUUCACUGUACCUGACUGCAUCUUGAGCAGAGAUUUCUAAAUGAAAAAGGAAGUGCACACUGGUAAAGGAAAGGGGACACAGGAAAACCGUAACACUCAGAAUACUUGGAAAUAAGGUAGUGAAAUAAGUGGUCUUACCUACACAGGGUUUAUGAUGUAAACUUGGGUGGGGGAUGGAAACACAGAAAAUUAAAAAGGUAAAGCUCUCAAGGUUGCUGGUGGGAUCACUAGACAGCUACAUUCAGCUCUAGAAGAGAGCUUGAGAGUAUAUUCUCUUUUCCUCUGACUGAAGACAUACAUAGCCUUGAACCACUCUUGCAACUAUAUACCAUAAAAAUCAUGUUAGUUUUUCUUUCACAAAAUUGUAUGAGCAUGUUCACAAAAGCAUUGAAGAUGUUAGAACACCAAUAUAUCCAAAAAGAGUACCACGCAUAAUUGUGGGAUAGUUACAUCAAGGAACAUUACAAAGGCAGUUAUCAUGGACCAACCACAACCAGAGGAUGCAGCAGAGGGAUGGCACAGAUACCAUGCUGAACUGAAGAAGUUAGGCAAAGAAAAAGCAAAGACUUGCUCCAGGAGGUCUUUUGCAUAAAGUUCAAAACACCACAAUGUAUCAAGAACCAGCAUAAAAGGCUUUGGGGAAAUGGUGAUGGAAAGAAAACUUGAAGGAAGUGAAAUCUUGCAAGUGGACCAUGCUCUCCAGCCACCUGCUGCCAAGUCAUAGAUUUUCAUUUGGCAAAUUUUUUCAUAUAAUUUAUGCACUUUUCUGAAUGUUUGGAUAUAAAAAUUCUUAGCAUUUUAUGGUGCUCACAUUUUCUGUUUCUUUCUCGAUUUUUAUUUUUCAUACUCUCCUGGAAAACAAGUUAGCCAUGCCAUCUAAGAUUUCAAUUUAAUGGAUAAAACUGCUUGCAACAGCAUCUUUCAGUGUUAACUCUUGACUGUGUGUUAUUGUUCAUCUUGUCAGCUCAUUUGAAUUGAGAAUCACCCAGGAGAUGAGUAAUCACACAUCUCAUGUGUCUAUAGGGAGUUCCCAGAGUUUGCUAACUAAGGCAAGAAAGCCCGUCCUGAGUCCAUAGACUGAGUGCUGAAUGGAAAAAGAAAAAGACCACUAUAAUAGACACUGCUUCCUGGAUGCUGUUCUAGUCACCUGAGAUGUUCUAGUCACCACACCUUUCUGCCAUGCUGAAUGGAAGUCCAUGAAACAGUGCUCAACCAUUAACCAUGAACAGACUCAGCUGGAUGCAUUUAU